GCAGGGCUCAAAGUAUAAACAAUUAUACACUGGGAACUGCGAAUGGGUCAUUAAAUCAGUUAUCGUUUAUUUGAUAAUACCUUGCUAAUUGGCAUACCCCUGGCAAUUCUAGAGCUAAUACAUGCGCAAAACCCCGACUUCUGGGAGGGCGGUAUUUAUUAAAUAAAAAAUCAAGCCUGCUUGAUGAUUCAUAAUAACUUGUCUAAUCUCAUGGCCUCCUGCCGGCUAUGGCUCAUUCAAAUUUCUGCCCUAUCAACUUUCUAUGGUAGGAUAGAGGCCUACCAUGGUUUCAACGGGUAACGGGGAAUAAGGGUUAGGAUCCUGAGAUGGAGCCUGAGAAACGGCUACCACAUCCAAGGAAGGCAACGAGCGCACAAAUUACCCAAUCCCGACACGGGGAGGUAGUGACAAUAAAUAAAAAAAAAAGGCCCUUUCGGGUCUUGUAAUUGGAAUGAGUACAAUGUAAAUACCUUAUCUAGGAACAAUUGGAGGCCCCCCCCCGGUGCCUCCAGGCCGCGGUAAUUCCAGCUCCAAGAGCGU
rnacentral:rRNA from 1 species